CUUUACUCUAUCACGACUAUUUUCUACAAAUAUUAAAAUUCGGAUAUGCAAAUGAGGCACCAAUUUACAGGGGCAGUCAGAGACAAUUCUCCCCUGUUCGAAGAGCAGGGCAGAUUUCCCGGGAAGGCUUGAAAAUGAAGCUGGAAGGAAGAUUGGUUCUCGAUAUAUUUGGCGUUUUCUGGGGCGAAACGGGUCUGAAAAACGUUCUGCAUUACAAGAAAUCUUGCUGUUUGAUUUGCCAAAAUUUACAAUGAAUUAAAGGGAACACGACUCCACGACCUAAUCGAACGGCGCGAUUGUCGAUUUGACAAUGCGUGAUUUUGCUGAAGCAAGAAAGCAAGGGAGCUUCGAUUGAGAGGGUUUUGAUGACGGGUGAGUUUGCGGCGUAAUGUUUUUCUUCUUUCUUAUCCUUAUCGAGUAAUUAAUAAAUGCAUGACGAAACGUUGUUCGAAGUUAGGCUGCAUCUUUCGACCUGUUUUAUAACGAACGCCUUCCUGUUUUUCAAACACUUUUAGGAAUUGCAACGACAAACCGGCUGCGAUGUGAUUGCUGAUGGUUUGUUUGCUGCUCCCUUCGCUGCUGCCACAAAAUGUUGCAUACAUCCUCGAGAAGACAGGAACUUUAUAUAUGACUCAUAUACGGCUACUUCUUUGCUUCUUGUACAGUAGAAAGUUUCUCUUAAAUGGUCCUGCCUCCUGAAAUGUCUUGAUAUCGCAAACUUUGAAAACACCACGGUGACGCUGAAACAUGACACAAUAAAGUAGUUUUUGUUCGACAGACCUCAGAAGAUUAACAUCGGAGAAUGACCAAAGGUAAGAAGAAAAUUUAUAUUGAGAUACGGCUGGAUUUUGCUCAAUAGAUCGAUGUUUGGAAGCCCAUAGCUUUAUUUUGGAUAAUUUUUGGAAAACUUUCCAAGAAACGUCGGCAAGGUUUAAGCCUAAUUUUCGAAUCCUAUAUGUUGUCACCAAAACAGAUCGUUUUGUUGAUAAAAUUUUCAUUCUGUCGCUAAAAAGUUAAUUUGAGAAGAACAAAGAAACUUUCUUGAUUAAAUAUUUGAUGUUUUAAGUACAAAAAUCACCAAUAGAAACUUUGCCCUGGCUUUGCUAUUUGCCUUAGACGGAAAAUGGAAGUUUUAUUCACUACAUUUAAAGACCUAAAUGUGAAUAAUGAAUAAAAGCAAGGCAGAGAUAAUCGAAUGAAGACCUUAACAAAAAGUAAUUAAAUUUGCACUAAAUGGAGCUUCUUGGACUUUGACAUAACAAUAGCUUUAACUCGAAAUUGGACAAAUGUUUUAUUUGGUAAAAUGACAGAGCUAGCAUCUUAGGAAAGUACAAAAAUAUAUUUUGAUAGGAAAGAUCUUUUCAUAAAUAGAGCUCUCUUUUACACCAGGUGUAUGUGUUGCACUUCAAAGAAUUGAUAAUGGCAAUAGUUGACGAUCGGAUGACCGCAAAGUGACGUCUAUCUUAAAAUAGGAAGUAAUAUCAACUCACAAAGACUGGCAAAUAUAAAAACUUUGUCAUGUGAAAUUAAAUACAGAUCUUAGGGUAUCGAAAUGGGCUAGCAAGAAGCCAAGAGGGGCUUUGAUGUUUGAUGUUUUUGCCAAAGUGGUAAGAGAUGGUGACCCUGCGACCCUAAUGCGUUUUAAUUACAAGUCAAUUUUAAUUGUCAACAUCUUUUUGCCACUUAGUUCAUGAGCACCUCCAACUGCACCAGUCUUGCGUUCGUGUCCCCAGGUAGACGAUAUGGCAACAAACCAGCAAAUGUAACCACUGACCUUGCAUCAGCACGAAGACUGUUCAGGUACUGCAAAUUAAAGGCAUAUCAAUUAGACCUAAACAGAUGACGUCAGAGGAGAUACAAGAGUGAAUUCACUACGCAAUCUUGAGGUUCAAAAAUAUAUAUAUAGGAAAUAUAGGAAAUAUAUAUACAUGCAGUUGUGUGAGUAGGUCUACACUUUCAUAACAUAGAUAAAUAUGUCCUGGUAUUGAAAGACUGGUAUUGUAAGAAAAAGAAUCUAACUUAUUUGGCAAAUCUACGCAAUACAGCACAGUCUUUCGUUUAACACAGCUUUAAGAACAAAGAGCCUUUUUGCAUGAGAUAACACUGAAAAAAUCUUGACUGGCCUCAGCGAGUACCGUGAAUUUUUAUAACUGAAUAUUUCAUUUUUUCAAAUGUCCAGUAACUUAACCAGUUAUGGAAUUAUUGCAGUUACCUACUUUUGACAAUUUUUUGUCUUUAUUCUUUGUUAUUGUUGUUUGAAUUUCUUUUCUUUUCUCAGGGGGAAAUACUUGUUCAGUGGCAAGGAAAUAACUCUUUAUGAAAGACUGGUAUUGUAAGGCAAAGCAGAUGUUAAUGGGAUAUCAAAGUCAACUCACCUCAUUUUGCAGUAUUUUGCAUACAAAAUAUUCAUAGUUGCCAACAGCAAAUCCGGUAUACAUUGCUUGAUCUACAGACAAAUUGCAGGAAAAAUUUCAAUUUGCUUCAGCUCUAAUAUGGAAAACAAAUCCCUUGCUUCAUGUCAUAUUUUCAAAUUGAAAUAAAAGACUGCGAUAGAAAACCCAUUAACGUCAUAACAUCUCAUUUAGUUUAAACAUUCGUUUGAGAUCAAUCAAUUACAUUUCUAUACGCUGUAUCUUCCUUUUAGCUACUUAUUCAAGAGGUUUUGAUAUUUGCUUUACGAUAUGAGGAAAUUACGAUACAAUAAAUGGAUUGUAGGCAUACUAAUUAAGUUCAAAAUAUAUUCUUAUCACGCACCUCAUCCGAAUAUUGCCGGAAUGCUGUUACUUUUUGCUCAACGCUUUCCAUGGAGAAAGGGAGAAGUUUUAUUUUCUUCAUAGUCUGAAAGAAGAAUGAACAAGCGAUGCAAUUAAUGUUUACUUAAGUACCUUUUAAGCUUAAAGGG